rnacentral:rRNA from 1 species
UACCAGCACCCCGAGUGGUCGGGACGAUUAUUGGGCCUAAAGCAUCCGUAGCCGGUUUUACAAGUCUUCCGUUAAAUCCAACUGCUUAACAGGUGGGCUGCGGAAGAUACUAUAGAGCUAGGAGGCGGGAGAGGCAAGCGGUACUCGAUGGGUAGGGGUAAAAUCCGUUGAUCCAUUGAAGACCACCAGUGGCGAAGGCGGCUUGCCAGAACGCGCUCGACGGUGAGGGAUGAAAGCUGGGGGAGCAAACCGG